rnacentral:rRNA from 1 species
AACGAACGCUGGCGGCAUGCCUAACACAUGCAAGUCGAACGAGACCUUCGGGUCUAGUGGCGCACGGGUCCUUACGCGUGGGAACCUGCCCCUAGGGUUCGAAAAACCCCCCGAAAGGGGUGCCUAAACCGGAUAAAUGCUUCGGACCAAAGAUUUAUCGCCUUUGGAUGGGCCCGCGUUGGAUUAGCUAGUUGGUAGGGUAAAAGCCUACCAAGGCGACGAUCCAUAGCUGGUCUGAGAGGAUGAUCAGCCACACUGGGACUGAGACACGGCCCAGACUCCUACGGGAGGCAGCAGUGGGGAAUAUUGGACAAUGGGCGAAAGCCUGAUCCAGCAAUGCCGCGUGAGUGAUGAAGGCCUUAGGGUUGUAAAGCUCUUUUACCCGGGAUGAUAAUGACAGUACCGGGAGAAUAAGCUCCGGCUAACUCCGUG